rnacentral:rRNA from 1 species
UGCCAGCCGCCGCGGUAAUACGGAGGGUGCGAGCGUUAAUCGGAAUCACUGGGCGUAAAGCGUGCGUAGGCGGCGCAGUAAGUCAGACGUGAAAGCCCUCGGCUCAACCGAGGAAUUGCGUUUGAAACUACUGUGCUAGAGUCUCGGAGAGGUUAGGGGAAUUCCAGGUGUAGGAGUGAAAUCCGUAGAUAUCUGGAGGAACGCCAAAGGUGAAGACAGGCCGCUGGGCUCGUCCUGACGCUGAGGUACGAAAGCGUGGGUAGCGAGCGGGAUUAGAUA